rnacentral:rRNA from 1 species
GAUGAACGCUGGCGGCGUGCCUAAUACAUGCAAGUCGAGCGAACAGACGAGGAGCUUGCUCCUCUGACGUUAGCGGCGGACGGGUGAGUAACACGUGGAGAACCUACCUAUAAGACUGGGAUAACUUCGGGAAACCGGAGCUAAUACCGGAGAAUAUAUUGAACCGCAAGGUUCAAUAGUGAAAGACGGUGUUGCUGUCACUUAUAGAUAGAUCCGCGCCGCAUUAGCUAGUUGGUAAGGUAACGGCUUACCAAGCCAACGAUGGGUAGCCGACCUGAGAGGGUGCUCGGCCACACUGGAACUGAGAACCGGCCCAGACUCCUGCGGGAGGCAGCAGUCGGGAAUCUUCCGCAAUGGGCGAAAGCCUGACGGAGCACCGCCGCGUGAGUGAUGAAGGUCUUCGGACCGUAAAACUCUGUUAGUAGGGAAGAACAAAUGUGUAAGUCACUAUGCACGUCUUGACGGUACCUAAUCAGAAAGCCACGGCUAACUCCGUG